GAUGAACGCUGGCGGCGUGCCUAAUACAUGCAAGUCGAGCGAACGGACGAGAAGCUUGCUUCUCUGAUGUUAGCGGCGGACGGGUGAGUAACAUGUGGAUAACCUACCUAUAAGACUGGGAUAACUUCGGGAAACCGGAGCUAAUACCGGAUAAUAUUUUGAACCGCAUGGUUCAAAAGUGAAAGACGGUCUUGCUGUCACUUAUAGAUGGAUCCGCGCUGCAUUAGCUAGUUGGUAAGGUAACGGCUUACCAAGGCAACGAUGCAUAGCCGACCUGAGAGGGUGAUCGGCCACACUGGAACUGAGACACGGUCCAGACUCCUACGGGAGGCAGCAGUAGGGAAUCUUCCGCAAUGGGCGAAAGCCUGACGGAGCAACGCCGCGUGAGUGAUGAAGGUCUUCGGAUCGUAAAACUCUGCUAUUAGGGAAGAACAUAUGUGUAAGUAACUGUGCACAUCUUGACGGUACCUAAUCAGAAAGCCACGGCUAACUACGUG
rnacentral:rRNA from 1 species